GACGAACGCUGGCGGCGUGCUUAACACAUGCAAGUCGAACGGAAAGGCCCUGCUUUUGUGGGGUGCUCGAGUGGCGAACGGGUGAGUAACACGUGAGUAACCUGCCCUUGACUUUGGUAUAACUUCAGGAAACUGGGGCUAAUACCGGAUAGGAGCUCCUGCUGCAUGGCGGGGGUUGGAAAGUUUCGGCGGUUGGGGAUGGACUCGCGGCUUAUCAGCUUGUUGGUGGGGUAGUGGCUUACCAAGGCUUUGACGGGUAGCCGGCCUGAGAGGGUGACCGGCCACAUUGGGACUGAGAUACGGCCCAGACUCCUACGGGAGGCAGCAGUGGGGAAUAUUGCACAAUGGGCGGAAGCCUGAUGCAGCAACGCCGCGUGCGGGAUGACGGCCUUCGGGUUGUAAACCGCUUUCGCCUGUGACGAAGCGUGAGUGACGGUAAUGGGUAAAGAAGCACCGGCUAACUACGUG
rnacentral:rRNA from 1 species